rnacentral:rRNA from 1 species
UACGUAGGGUGCAAGCGUUAAUCGGAAUUACUGGGCGUAAAGCGUGCGCAGGCGGCUUUGCAAGACAGAUGUGAAAUCCCCGGGCUUAACCUGGGAACUGCAUUUGUGACUGCAUGGCUGGAGUGCGGCAGAGGGGGGAUGGAAUUCCGCGUGUAGCAGUGAAUGCGUAGAUAUGCGGAGGAACACCGAUGGCGAAGGCAAUCCCCGUGGGCCUGCACUGACGCUCAUGCACGAAGCGU